CGGCAUUUUAGAGAGUCUUUGAAACUCGUCCCUAUGGAGUUCACACCAGAGGUAGCUGACAAUCCAAAACGCCGCCACGCUCCCGAGUCCAGACAGUGAGGAGACGCUACAUUGCCAGAGCAGCUUCUACUGGGCUGUAGAGACCAUUUGUGUAGGAAUGUAGGAGCUGAUGUCUGUUGGUGAAGGCGAGAGCAGAAAGGAGACCAGGGAGCCAAUGUUACCGAUGAGAAGUGAGGACUCCCCCAGGCUCAUGACGCUGGGCAGCGAGGCCAUGAUGAGGCUCUGUGAGGAAGCAGUCGAGGCAGACAGACUGUGCAGCGAGGUCAGAGUGCUUACUGGGGGCAGUGGACCACUGCUGGACAGCUGAGACCAGAGGACAACAUGGUCAUGAUGGUAGCAGUGCAUGCAGGUUACAAUAAAGAAGUUGGCAGAAAUGAGAAGUUGGAAGUGGACUGGAAAGGAAAGAGGGCAAACUGAAUGGAGGGGAAACCUUUGAGAGUUAAUGCAGUCCUUUAUCUUUUCUCUCUCUCUUUCAGUGUAAAACGCUCACUUUCUUUGCCUGGGAUCACCUUAUACCAUUCUCAGGUUCAGCCUAUCAGCACCUUUUUGUGUAGCGCUCUUGUUACCCCACCCCACCCUUGGGAAGAUGGCAUUAUACUGUAUUUGGAAGGGUAACAGAGCUCCCUCUAUCUCACUGAGACAUGCCACUGACCUGUAAUUAAGUCCCAUUGUACUAUUCAGAGAAAACUCCUCACCAAAAUGGACAGAGGGCAAUGUGUGUGGAUUUCCAACAGCUCAGAUAGCGCUGUGACUAAUGCUCCACCACACAAGCUGGGUUUAUCAAAAUGGACCACAUGCAGUACACAUUAGAGCUCGCAUUUUCCCUCUCCAGAGAACUCAAAGCUAUGUUGAUUGGUAAUGAGAUACAAUCCACACUGUCCAUCUCUCAUUAGUGAGCCAUUGCUGGCUUUCUCUAUCUGUGUUCUCACCGCUCGCUCUGUCUCUGCCUCAGCCUAGUGGUCCCCCUCUCCACCCCGUCCCCAACCCUGCCAUUCAACCCCAUUGAUCAUGCAUGCAGAAAUUUAACACACCCCUUAAUUCCUGUCCAAAUAGCCCCUCUGCCACUUCCAGAGCUUCAUCUGCCCGCCUGUAGAGGUUAGAGUAUGCCUGUGUGAGGGGCAGGACACUGGCUGCAGCACUCAGCGAGGAUAAAGUGUGUUGGAGAGGACAAUCACAAGUCUAAAUCUGUGCCCAAACAUCCUGCGUUACACGCUCCGAGCUUGUAGUGUUGCUCUGAUUGAUCGUGUUACAGGUGCGUGUGUGUGUGUAUUUUGGAGACAAAACCAGCACUUUGAGUGCGUUGUAAUGUCAGUAUCCUAAUAUCCAGACGUCACAGUCCAAACAUUUGCACCAAACUCGGAGCCUCCAUUUUACACCCACCGUAAGUCAAAGCUGGCAUUGUCUUUGAGUGGCCCAGGCCAUUGAUUGGCCUUAACAUUGGUUACCAGGUCACAUGUUGAGUCAGUGUUGGGAAGAUUAGCGGGAGCUGCUGGCUUUGGAACUAAUUAAAUACUUAAACCCCAGCAAUGAAUGAGCACACAGCGCACAAACCUCCUGUUAUACCACAUUGCAUAAGCUGGUUUGCAGAAUGCAAGGUGUCUUAACACAGACGAACAUGUUGCUGGUGAUAUCCAGCACUGAUACAAAUUAACUUGAUUACAGUUAAGAUAUUAGUUAAUAGAUCAGUGAUACAAGAGGAGUGGAAAAUACCACAGAGUAAUUGUAUAACAAACCAUUUGUUAUUCAGGCGCCUCAGACACUUUUAGAGCCUGUGGGUGUAUUAAAGGAGUAGUUUGACUUCAUAUUAGAGAAACAUUUGCUUCAUUUUGGCUUAAUAAUAUUUAAACAGGCUACUAGAAACUUGGCGAAAUUUUCCAUGAACACUGCACUGUAAGGACAAUGUAAGAUUUACAGAGUAAUUGACAAAAUUGCCUGUUAUAAAACUCGUGUCUGUAGUAACCAUGAUUUUUUUUUAGAUUGAAUUAAUAGCACAUGAUAUUACUUUCAUGAAAGAAACACGUGUGUCAGAGAUGUUUGCAGGACUUUUAUUGCAAUCUUUUUUAAUGUUUGCCUUUUUUAAAGACCUCACAAAACCGGUAAAGAGACAAUUACAGAUUAGUUGUUGUCCCUGUAAACUGUCCAUGUUGACGCUUCUUAUCUGAACGAGAAUGGAAAUUGUGUCAAAUUAGUCACAAUUAAUCAGAACGUGAGAGGAAGUAAGGAGAUUCUGCCUUCACAAUAAAGGCUUAAUGUCACUUAGAAAAGUACAUUGAUGUUGAAAAUCUCAGACUCAGUUUUAAAUUACUUAUGGUUCAGAUUGUAUUUUGACAUCUGUAGGACUGUUUUGCAAGUGUU